AAAAAAAAAAAGAGCCCUACCUAACGUAAUGAAUUUGAAGAGCACUACCUAAGUCUCUCAAAAUUUUCUCCAUCUUUACCCCCAAAAUUUUUUCCCUCUCACUCUUUCCCUCUCACAAAAUUUCCCCAAAAUUUUUUUUCCCUCUCACUCUUUCACUUAGGGAUUUCAUGAGCUCUCUCCCUCUCAUUCUCACUUUCCCUCUCACAAUACUCUCUCUUUCUCCCCUCACUCAUCUUUGAUCUCUCCAUCAGACCCAUCAGCCAACACCAUCCACUACACAGCCACCCUCUGCCACCACUGCCAUCAUCGUCCUCCACUCUCUUUGCCACCUACUGCGCUAUCCACCACAAGUCUGAACAAGCUUGGCUGUGGUUGGCAGUGGAGCAUAUCUUGUGUACAAAUAUAGAUUACGGCAAUACAUGGAUUCUGAAAUUAGAGCUAUAAUGGCACAGUAUAUGCCUCUAGACAGUCAAGCUGAAAUACCAAACCAUGUCAAUGACGAACAAGCAUGAAAAGCAAAAUUUCACCCUUCAGUUUUUUUAAGGAUUUCAGGUCAAAAUAUUGCAUGCCUUGGGCUAUAGAAGAUAUUGAGGGGAGAUAUAUUUCAUUGCAACAAGUUUUAGCUUGGUGGCAUAUUUUCAUGAGGAAUUUGUUAUCAUUUGACUAGUAUUUGAGUGAAUAGAUUGGAACUUAUGUUAUGUAUAUGAUAUUGAACUUGGGUAUUAUUUUCCCUUAUUGGUAGUUAUUGAUUGAGCAGUUGUUAUGCUUA